GAGGAUGUAGCUCAGAGGUUGAGUGCUUGCUUAGAAUAUGCAAGACCCUGGGUUCAAUAUCCAGUGUGUACA
rnacentral:tRNA from 1 species